AAGUCGUAACAAGGUCUCCGUUGGUGAACCAGCGGAGGGAUCAUUACCGAGUUUACAACUCCCAAACCCAAUGUGAACGUUACCAAACUGUUGCCUCGGCGGGAUCUCUGCCCCGGGUGCGUCGCAGCCCCGGACCAAGGCGCCCGCCGGAGGACCAACCAAAACUCUUAUUGUAUACCCCCUCGCGGGUUUUUUUUUUAUAAUCUGAGCCUUCUCGGCGCCUCUCGUAGGCGUUUCGAAAAUGAAUCAAAACUUUCAACAACGGAUCUCUUGGUUCUG
rnacentral:misc_RNA from 1 species